UACAGAGGAGCCAAGCGUUGUCCGGAUUGACUGGGCGUAAAGCGCACGCAGGCGGUUGCGCGCGUGGGGUGUGAAAUCUGGCCGCUUAACGGCCAGGCGCCAUCCCAUACGGCGCGACUGGAGUGAUGCAGAGGUCGAUGGAAUUGCCGGUGUAGUGGUGAAAUGCGUAGAGAUCGGCAGGAACACCCAGGGGGAAACCAGCCGGCUGGGGAUGUGCUGACGCUGAGACACGAAAGCCAGGGGAGCAAACGGG
rnacentral:rRNA from 1 species